CACCAGCUACUAGGAAGGAGAAAAACAACCUUUAUAGCUGAACCCAGGACACUAGUUUAUUUAGAGAUCCUGUAGCUACUUAAACCUGGUUUGGCCACUUGCAUGGCUGCUUACCCUUCAUACCAGUGAGCCUCUAGAGCUCUGCUGGCAGCGGAGUUUGUAAAACAAGAUGCUGUUCCCUGAAGGUUUAGCGCAGCAGAAGUCACCACACCUGUGGCCCUGGGACCGUUAUUUUCCCACUUGGGAAGCAGCAAGCAUUUUUUGCCAGUGUUAAACUUGACUCCUGAUGCCUGAACUGUGCUCCACAGGGAGGAAAAAAACCCCCAAGUCUGCAGCUUGGCAGAGCUGCAGAAAUGUGGACUCUGUGUGAUCAAUGGAGACUGUUCACAGUGACAGCGAGAGGGCAGCUGUCUCCGCAGGCCCGGGUAUCUUUGCAUCUCGAAUGUCUUUAUUUUACUGGCCUUUGCUAAUAUAAAAGUUCAUGCUCAUUAUGGGAUAGAAGCCACAUCAUCAACAAACAGGAGAAAAGCAGCAAAAUGACAAGCCCAUGGUAGAGCCACAGGACAGAAGCAGGAGUCCCAGUUCAGUCAGGCAGGUCGCUGCUUUGUUUUAAGCAAAUGAAGGCAUAAAAAAGCAAGUGUGAAAGCCUUGCACUGGGACACAAAGGCUUCCUCACAUGCAAACCCUGGCUGAUGCCAACUUAACUUUGUUCCAAGCAGACAAUGUGCAGGAACUCCAGGACAGAACUGCCCCAGGCCUGUGAAGCAAACACCCCCAUCCUGCUCCAAAGACAGCAACUUCCUUGGACUACCAGAAAGGUGAAAUAUCUACAGGCUAUGUUCUAAAUAAAGGAUUUCUUCCCCUU